rnacentral:misc_RNA from 1 species
AAAAUGCGAUAAGUAGCGUGAAUUGCAGAAUUCAGUGAAUCAUCGAAUCUUUGAACGCACAUUGCGCCCGCCAGUAUUCUGGCGGGCAUGCCUGUUCGAGCGUCAUUUCAACCAUCAAGCCCCCGGCUUGUGUUGGGGACCUGCGGCUGCCCGCAGGCCCUGAAAAACAGUGGCGGGCUCGCUGUCACACCGAGCGUAGUAGCAUACAUUCUCGCUCAGGGCGUGCUGCGGGUUCCGGCCGUUAAACGACCUUCAUAACCCAAGGUUGACCUCGGAUCAGGUAGGAAGACCCGCUGAACUUAAGC